rnacentral:rRNA from 1 species
AUGCAAGAAAUUGUGUGUGGAUGUGCGGAUAAAGCUGGGGUGGAGAACACAAGAUCGUGUCGGUGCGAGUGCCCUGCAUUAAUAAGACUCCUACGAUCAAAGGACAAUGGUUGGUACAUGGCCAAGCAUCGUGAACAUCACAACCAUUCAUUGUCUCCAACAUAUGGCCAGACAAUACACUGGCCGUCGCACAAGCAUAUUGAUGCCUACAGCAGGGACUUGGUGGAGCACUUGCGACAGAACAAUGUGAACCUGGCAAAAGCACACAUCAUCAUAGGGAGUUGUUUUGGUUCAACUGAGAAGGUGCCUUUCACAAAAAGAGCUCUGAAGAAUCUGUCUGCUAAAAUCAGCAGAGAGAGAGGAUGA